rnacentral:lncRNA from 1 species
GUAUCAUUUAAAUUUUUUGGUUGAUGAUAUUGAGGCGAUCAGCAUAGGUAGGUUUAAUUCACUAUUAAGAUAGUUUUGACAAUGGGUGUUGGAAUUUAUCUGCGGUUGAAGGAUUUAGCUUCCUUUACAUAGACGAGAGGGAGUUGCUCGGAUGGUAAGCACCCCUCACUUCCAACCCAAAGGUUGCGAGUUCGAGUCACCAAAGAAGCAAAAAGGGUGGGAGGAGGGAUAAAAUAAAAAAAAACCUUCCUUUACAUAAGGUUAUAAGAGAUGAUUAAUGUGUUCUUUACACUUCAUAGAGAUUUUACAUUAUUUGCUAUUUAAAGAAAUGAAAUUUGCAUUU